rnacentral:rRNA from 1 species
GACAGAGGAUGCAAGCGUUAUCCGGAAUGAUUGGGCGUAAAGCGUCUGUAGGUGGCUUUUUAAGUCCGCCGUCAAAUCCCAGGGCUCAACCCUGGACAGGCGGUGGAAACUACCAAGCUGGAGCACUGUAGAGGCAGGCGGAAUUCCGGGUGUAGCGGUGGAAUGCGUAGAGAUCCGGAAGAACGACCGGUGGCGAAGGCGGCCUGCUGGGCAGUUGCUGGACACUGGAGGCGCGACAGCGUGGGGAGCAACAGG